GCUUAGAUAACAAUACAGUGCCUCUCUUUCUUUACCUCUUUCCCCACAAUUUCUUCCUUUUUCUUGAAUCCCAGCCCAUCCUUGAGGCCUGCCACCAAUUGGAAGAUCUUCAGUUCCACCUCUUUCCUGGACAUCUGACUGUAUUGCCCAUCAUUGUCUAUGCUCUGCCCACCGAGAAGAUGCAUCUGGAUCCCUGGUGUCACUUAUUGCUGAACUGUUUGAAUACCAAGUUAUACCGACCUGAAUCUCCCAAGUACCAACAGCAGCCUGGCUCGAAGCCAGAAGGAAUGACUGGAUAUCCCAAGUACCUGAUGGCCACAUAAACAUUUGAAGUAUCAAGCAUUAGAAGAAAGGUCUGUUCCCCAUCCUGACUUUGAGCAUGCUUCAUGGAGAAACUGCCUCCCAUAGACUAUCUGGCUCGAGCUCCCCUGCCCUCCAGUGGAUUUGGCCAAUAGGAGGCAUCAGCAAGAGAUGAGAGGGCAAGAGAAAAGAGAAGUGAGGAUAUUUCUCUCCCUUCUCCCCUCCCUGUAUUGGUGCCCCAUGCUGACAGGGGCUGUUUCCUUUGUUACUACAUCUCCUGCCAGACUACCCCUCCCUGGCUCCAGCCUCAUAAACUCUGCUGAAACUCAAUCUUCCCUUUGCCCUUUCAGGCCUAGGGGUAUGAACAGCUGUCUGUUCAACUUGGCUCCCUUAACCAUGCCCACACCUCUGUAAAUGAUCCCUUCAUUAAACUAUCUUCCCUUAAGUCCUUUUGUUUCUUGCUGUAACCUUAAUGGAUACACAAAGCUUCAUUUGCAACCUCCUUGCCAACUUUCAGAGCUUCAUAUCCACCUGAGACCCUGUUCUUUUGUUCAAACACAUAUAUUUGUUAGAUGUUUGGUAGGGUUUACAUGUGCAACAGUUAACAAGACAGUCUUUGCCUACAAAGAAUUUACAGUCUUGUUCUGAAUACGUGUAAGUAAAGAGUUCAUCAAAACAGUGGGUGAACCAUACAUUAGGGCUGUGUGACUCUGUGCUGGGUAUUUCUUCCUGGAUGUCACCCUGGCCUGAAUCUUCACAUCCAACAUUUAUCAUUCUGAACUCACUCCCCCAAGCCCACUCUCUACUACCUUUGUUGAUGACACCAACAUACCAUCUACUCAUUUGUCCAGGUUAGAACCUAUGGAGUCAUCCUACAUGCCUCUGACUUUCUUUUAUCGGUGUGAUAAAAAAUUUAUAAAUUUAUAGCCUAAAUUGCUUUCAGUCAUAUUCUCCUCACACUCAGUGUUCCUUCCCUGGUCCAGAUAUCCACAGCUUUUCUCUCCCAAUCUCAAAUCCUGCUCCCUUGAAUUCAUCCCCGACUGUGCCAUCCUGUCAGUUACUGACAACAUAUAAAACCGAUUGGAAUUCUAUUCUGGCCACAGCUUUUCUGGCCCCUUCACAAGUGAGUUUAAAAUGUAUACUCCUUUGUAAGUCUGACAAGGCCUUUUAUGAUCUGGCCCCUACCUGCCUAUCUAGCCUUGUUUCACCCAAGCUGCUCAACUACCACCUGACCCCAGCAAUGCUAAAGUUAUUAUGGUUUCCCAAACAUUCCAUACGCUCUCCUGUCAGGUCCACUGAGAACACUCUAUUUAUCUUUCUUUCUUUUGGAGUUUCACUCUUGUUGCCCAGGC
rnacentral:lncRNA from 1 species